UGUUUGUUGCUGCUGUUUGUAGAAAAGAUUAAAAGCACGAGACCCUGCUACCGCAACUGUCAAGACUGGCUCGCUCUGUGUUUAGUGUCCCGUCUGCAGCAGCAGCAGCGAACGUGUCUUCAGCGCAGCGGGAAGAGUGAUAGAAGAGAGGAGGACUGGGUUAAAACCUUCCACUCUGGGGGCUAUUCUUUUUCUCCACGAUGCUCUGUAAGAGACUGUUCUAACUUUUCAUUAAGACUGGACUUUAUUUUCGUUUAACUGUUGGAAACUAAUGGAAAAAAGAAUUGACAUGUUCUGUGGUGCAUUUUUUGAGGUAAGAUAACCUGUUUGUUUUUAAUUAAAUUAAUUUGUUUAGAUUGUAGUCUAUUUCUCAUUUAGUUUGCGAGCGCUGUUGCGAACCUGCCUAAGUAUUUCAAUUUUUUUUAUUUGAUUUUACUCACUGUGGUUUAAUAAAUAAACAUUUAUU